CUCCGCAACGAGAGCCGCCAUCCCUUCGCGCCUGCCAUUUUGCCAGAGUUUUGUUUUCUGCAAGUCCGCGCACGCAGCUCAUCGGUAGAUGCGCGGAUGCACGGCGUCACAUUGCGACCUGCGGCAUUUUCUCGUGUUCGCGCAUUCGGUGUGAAACAUGUCGCAUGUGAAAUAUUUGACAGAAGUGCUUCACGUCCAAGUCAAGCCGCUGUACGGGUGUAUGGCUGUGUGCCCCGUUCUCGGAAGCGUCGACGGGUUUCCGGCGUGCGGAUUUCAGAGUUUGGACUCGACUUUUGGUGAGUAUGUCGAUCGACCUUGGGCCCGGGGACAGCACACCCGACAUGGCCAAAGUGCAGCCUAUCAGUUGAGUGUCCCCGAAUGGAUCAUCAACAUCGGAAAAUGAAGCAGAGCCAGGUAG